GACAGAGGGUGCUAGCGUUGUUCGGAAUGACUGGGCGUAAAGGGCGCGUAGGCGGUUAUAUUAGGCAAGCGUGAAAGCCCCGGGCUUAACCCGGGAAUUGCGCCUGAAACGGUAUGACUAGAGGACGAGAGAGGAAAGCGGAAUUCCUAGUGUAGAGGUGAAAUUCGUAGAUAUUAGGAGGAACAUCAGAGGCGAAGGCGGCUUUCUGGCUCGUUACUGACGCUGAGGCGCGAAAGCGUGGGGAGCAGACAGG
rnacentral:rRNA from 1 species